CCUACGGGUGGCAGCAGUGGGGAAUAUUGGACAAUGGGGGCAACCCUGAUCCAGCCAUGCCGCGUGUGUGAAGAAGGCCCUCGGGUUGUAAAGCACUUUCAGUGAGGAAGAACGCCUGGUGGUUAAUACCCAUCAGGAAAGACAUCACUCACAGAAGAAGCACCGGCUAACUCCGUGCCAGCAGCCGCGGUAAUACGGAGGGUGCGAGCGUUAAUCGGAAUUACUGGGCGUAAAGCGCGCGUAGGUGGCUUGAUAAGCCGGUUGUGAAAGCCCCGGGCUCAACCUGGGAACGGCAUUCCGGUGGCGAGCGGGAGGGGAGGGGAGGAGGGUGGAAGGCAGGGGGUGGCGGUGCUCUGCGUAGCGCUCGGGACGGAGAGCAGUGGAGAGGGCGGCCUUAAGGACUGACAGUGACACUGGGGGUCCAAAGCGUGUGUCGGAAACCGGGUUCGAUGGCACUGGAGUC
rnacentral:rRNA from 1 species